rnacentral:rRNA from 1 species
GAUGAACGCUGGCGGCGUGCCUAAUACAUGCAAGUCGAACGAAACUUCUUGAUCACCGAUUGCUUGCGCUUACCGAUGGAGGGUUGAGUAACGAACGGGUAAGUUACCCGUAGGCAACCGGCCCAUUAGGGGGGGCUAAGACUUUGAAACAGGUUCUAUUACCGCAUAACCAUAGUUACCGCAUGGUAGCUUUGUAAAAAGUUGCUAUUCUAUCCCUGUUGGAUUGGCCCGCGGCGCAUUAGCUAGUUGGUAGGGUAAAGGCUUACCAAGGCAAUGAUGCGUAGCCGAAUUGAGAGGGUGAUCGGCCACAUUGGGACUGAGACACGGCCCAAACUCCUACGGGAGGCAGCAGUAGGGAAUCUUCCACAAUGGGCGAAAGCCUGAUGGAGCAACGCCGCGUGGGUGAAGAAGGUCUUCGGAUCGUAAAACCCUGUUGUUAGAGAAGAAAGUGCGUGAGAGUAACUGUUCACGUCUCGACGGUACCUAAUCAGAAAGCCACGGCUAACUACGUG